rnacentral:rRNA from 1 species
GACGAACGCUGGCGGCGUGCUUAACACAUGCAAGUCGAACGAAGAGCGAUGGAAGCUUGCUUCUAUCAAUCUUAGUGGCGAACGGGUGAGUAACGCGUAAUCAACCUGCCCUUCAGAGGGGGACAACAGUUGGAAACGACUGCUAAUACCGCAUACGAUCUAAUCUCGGCAUCGAGGAUAGAUGAAAGGUGGCCUCUACAUGUAAGCUAUCACUGAAGGAGGGGAGUGCGUCUGAUUAGCUAGUUGGAGGGGUAACGGCCCACCAAGGCGAUGAUCCGUAGCCGGUCUGAGAGGAUGGACGGCCACAUUUGGACUGAGACACGGCCCAGACUCCUACGGGAGGCAGCAGUGGGGAAUCUUCCGCAAUAGACGAAAGUCUGACGGAGCAACGCCGCGUGAGUGAUGACGGCCUUCGGGUUGUAAAGCUCUGUUAAUCGGGACGAAAGGCCUUCUUGCGAAUAGUGAGAAGGAUUGACGGUACCGGAAUAGAAAGCCACGGCUAACUACGUG